rnacentral:tRNA from 1 species
GAGGGUAUAACUCAGUGGUAGAGCGCAUGCCUAGCAAGCAUGAGGUCCUGGGUUCAAUCCCCAGUAUCUUUA